GACAGAGGGUGCAAACGUUGUUCGGAAUUACUGGGCGUAAAGCGCAUGUAGGCGGCCAAGCAGGUCGGAUGUGAAAUCCCUCGGCUCAACCAAGGAAGUGCAUUCGAAACCGCAUGGCUGGAGUCCCGGAGAGGAAGGUGGAAUUCUCGGUGUAGAGGUGAAAUUCGUAGAUAUCGAGAGGAACACCAGUGGCGAAGGCGAUCAUCUGGGGUUGUUCUGACACUGAGGAGCGAAAGCUAGGGGAGCAAACGGG
rnacentral:rRNA from 1 species